rnacentral:rRNA from 1 species
GACGAACGCUGGCGGCGUGCUUAACACAUGCAAGUCGAACGGAAAGGCCCUGCUUUUGUGGGGUGCUCGAGUGGCGAACGGGUGAGUAACACGUGAGUAACCUGCCCUUGACUUUGGGAUAACUUCAGGAAACUGGGGCUAAUACCGGAUAGGAGCUCCUGCUGCAUGGUGGGGGUUGGAAAGUUUCGGCGGUUGGGGAUGGACUCGCGGCUUAUCAGCUUGUUGGUGGGGUAGUGGCUUACCAAGGCUUUGACGGGUAGCCGGCCUGAGAGGGUGACCGGCCACAUUGGGACUGAGAUACGGCCCAGACUCCUACGGGAGGCAGCAGUGAGGAAUAUUGCACAAUGGGCGGAAGCCUGAUGCAGCAACGCCGCGUGCGGGAUUACGGCCUUCGGGUUGUAAACCGCUUUCGCCUGUGACGAAGCGUGAGUGACGGUAAUGGGUAAAGAAGCACCGGCUAACUACGUG